AAACCAAUAGCUAAGUGUAUGAAUAAUGACAUAAAUUACCAAGUAGAGUUAUAAGGAGGGAAGCAAAUGGCUGGGAAGAGGAGAUCUUGUUAAAUUGGAGAAUCUUAAUAAAAAUAAAAGAAUCUCUCAUCCUGAAACUUGGCACAUUUGUGGGAAGCAAGAACCCCCACCCCCCCUUUAUUUUUUUAUUUUCUUGGCAACCUGCAGCUCAUAAAGGGACUGUUUAGCACCAAAAAACCAGCUUCAUAUCCCACUGGUUUUCGUUAUUUUUGUGCAUACAAGGAGAUCUCAGCAACCUAAGUAUCAUCCACAUUCGUCCAGAAAAAGAAUCCUAGAUAUCGGUCAUGCUGCCUCUAGUUCUCAACAAUGAAAAUCGUACCUCUUUAUUGCCUGAACCCUGAAAUAGUCGCACACGAUAGUAAAUCAUAUCCACGAUGAGCGUUGACAGCCCUGGCUUGUGAACAAAACAAUUCCGAUAGAAAUAGAAGCAAGGAGAGGGGAAUUGGGAUAAGGUGGCCCCAUUCAAUUUUUUUUUCAUUCUAUUUUUUUUUUACUGCUUGUCUCACAGGUGACCUGCCCAAGGAGAGGGAAGAAGGGACAGCAGCUGGCAUUCUGUCCCGAAACUCACUUCCAGCCAAUUGAGAAUUCCCUGCUGCCAAAUAGCAGCAACACAAUCUUCACAACAACCUGAAGAAAUGGAUGCUAUGAAUAGUCUCGGUUUACUGAUGAAGAAACGUGACUUGGAGAGAGGAGUAACGAAGAAGGUCACUGAGAGUGAAAAGUAGUGGCAGGUCUCCUUGCUGCGCUAGGUCUACCCUCUCCUCUUCUGCUCCCAACCAUAAGUGAACGGAAACUUGGAGAAACACCUGAGCAGCGACCCUGGUGGCAGUAACAGCAGCAGCUACAACCCUACGGGUUCCCCAGCCGAAGUCUGUCCCCUUCGUUAGCGUGCUGAAGGCUGCACAGCCAACGUGUGCCGUUCGGACAGGCUGAUGCGUUCAAACGCCCGGUCUACCCGAAGUCCUUGGUGACCAUGAAGAGGGUUAUGCACCAUAACAGGGUGAUGUGGGGCCCCGGUACGUCUUGUGGUCUGAGCAACCCUGGCAAGGACACCCAUGCAUCCAACAUGGAGUUGAGAGUAACUGACAGAACCUGUUGAACCAGAAGGAGCCUGGCUGCCCCUGGGUGGCCCGGUUGAGGGAGAGGCUGCGCCUCCCAGCCACACUCAGAAGCAGCAGGCAAGUUGACACUGUCAUCUCUGGGGACAUAUGCGUGGAUUCGGAGAAGACAGCCUGUGAGAGCAGGAUGCUGGUGAGAUGUGCAGAAUUGAACUGCACACGAAGCCAGGUGGUAAGCUGGACCAGCGAACCACUACUGGUUGAAUCUAAGGAUGGCAAGAGAUGUCUGCAGAUCUUGGUGGGCUGUGAUAAUGUCAGUGGCUUCUUCCAGAGAAUGCUAGGAGCUUAAGUCAGGAAUCUGAAGUCAGUCUGAGAAUAAGUUCUUUAAAAA